rnacentral:rRNA from 1 species
CAGCAGCCACGGGAAUACGUAGGGUGCGAGCGUUAAUCGGAAUUACUGGGCGUAAAGCGUGCGCAGGCGGUUAUAUAAGACAGAUGUGAAAUCCCCGGGCUCAACCUGGGACCUGCAUUUGUGACUGUAUAGCUAGAGUACGGUAGAGGGGGAUGGAAUUCCGCGUGUAGCAGUGAAAUGCGUAGAUAUGCGGAGGAACACCGAUGGCGAAGGCAAUCCCCUGGACCUGUACUGACGCUCAUGCACGAAAGCGUGGGGAGCAAACAGGAUUAGAUACCCCCGUAGUCCCUGUCUCUUAUAC